rnacentral:misc_RNA from 1 species
AACAUCGCGCACCUGCGGGAACCUGCGGAAGGAUCAUUAAUAAUUUUUUUUGAACCCAUCGUUUUCGGUGGGUUCAUCUGUAUUCAAAUCCCACUCUUAAAAUUUUAAACAAAUUUAUUAUAAAUAAAGUAAAAAAUAAGACAACUUUCAGCAACGGAUCU